rnacentral:rRNA from 1 species
UACGAAGGGUGCUAGCGUUGUUCGGAAUUACUGGGCGUAAAGCGCGCGUAGGCGGCUUGUCAAGUCAGGGGUGAAAUCCCGGAGCUCAACUUCGGAACUGCCCUUGAUACAGCACGUCUUGAGUACUAAAGAGGGUCGCGGAAUUCCCGGUGUAGAGGUGAAAUUCGUAGAUAUUGGGAAGAACACCGGUGGCGAAGGCGGCGACCUGGUCCAUUACUGACGCUGAGGCGCGACAGCGUGGGGAGCAAACAGG